rnacentral:rRNA from 1 species
CACGUAGGGGGGCGAGCGUUGUCCGGAUUUAUUGGGCGUAAAGAGCUCGUAGGUGGUUCAGUAAGUCGAGUGUGAAACCUCCAGGCUCAACCUGGAGACGCCACCCGAUACUGCUGUGACUAGAGUCCAGUAGGGGAGCACGGAAUUCCUGGUGUAGCGGUGAAAUGCGCAGAUAUCAGGAGGAACAUCAGUGGCGAAGGCGGUGCUCUGGGCUGGAACUGACACUGAGGAGCGAAAGCGUGGGUAGCAAACAGG